GACGAACGCUGGCGGCGUGCCUAACACAUGCAAGUCGAACGGAGAUGUUAAUUUCGGUUGACGUCUUAGUGGCGCACGGGUGAGUAACGCGUGAACAAUCUGACCUUAAGAGGGGGAUAACAACGAGAAAUCGUUGCUAAUACCGCAUAAGACCACAACGUCGCAUGGCGAAGGGGUCAAAGGAGCAAUCCGCUUAAGGAGGAGUUCGCGUCCCAUUAGGUAGUAGGUGAGGUAACGGCCCACCUAGCCAGCGAUGGGUAGCCGAGCUGAGAGGCUGAACGGCCACACUGGAACUGAGACACGGUCCAGACUCCUACGGGAGGCAGCAGUGGGGAAUAUUGGGCAAUGGGCGCAAGCCUGACCCAGCAACGCCGCGUGAGGGAAGAAGGUUUUCGGAUUGUAAACCUCUGUCGCAGAUGACGAAAAAAAUGACGGUAAUCUGUGAGGAAGCCCCGGCUAACUACGUG
rnacentral:rRNA from 1 species